GAAAAUGUAAAUUUAGAAGUCUUUUUUUUAUUAAAUUGGAAUGUAUUUUUUGUAAACUUUUAUACCUACAGAAUGUGUAAUUUAAAAUUAUUAACAAAAUUUGAACUACCAACUUAAAGAUAUAGCAGCCAUUAAAAAAACUGACUUCUUGAUGUUUUUUUAAAUAUUAAAGUAUUUAACUUUCUAUGCAAUAUACAUUGGUAAAUGGAAUACCAAGUAAUUUAAUUUGAAAGUUUACUUGUUAAAAGUCAGAUAAAUAACUAUUUUUAUAUGAAACUUUCAUUUUUAAAGCUUUAUAUAAUAAUUCAGAAAAAUGCCAAAAGAAUAUGUGACAGAUAUAUAUUAUUGAGUAAAUGGUCAAAAGAAAUGUACCCUAAAUAUUUUGUAAGAAGAUUGUCUCAGUCUUCUUCCUUUUGAGUGCUAUAUCACAUACAUUAUAUGAAUUAGUAUCAGAAAUGUAAGAGCUUUAUUAAAACCUUAUAACCUCGGUGUCAUGCUAUUAUGAUGAUGAUUUUUAAGGAUCAUUUAUUUCAAAGUCAUUCUUUUUAAAUGAACGUGUUAAAGUAUUGGACCAUCAUAUAUUAUCCAUAAAUAUAUGUAAUAACAUUUUUUUUCCAAAAUUGAGUUUUCCAGAAUCUGCAAUACUUUAAGGGCCAACAUAUUAUUUUGGAUGCUAAUAAUUUUAAAGUUAAUCUCUGCCGUCUUAAGUAUUAACGGAAAAUACUAAACAUUUGUUGCUUAAAUCAGUCAUAAUAAACCUCUUCUGUUGACUGUGCUGUUCUAGAAGUACUCCAUUAGGUAUAUACCUUUAUUUAAAAUGGCCUUUUCAAAUCUUUUUUGAGUUUUUAUACCUGCUUUUUAUAGUCUCCUGGAAUCUUCCCAUACUGUUAGACAGCCAACUCUCAUUCCCCUGCCAGCCCUAAUGGUUUUUAGGAUUGAAAACAAAUUUAAUUGUAGUGCAUGUACCUGAAUAAAGAUUUUAAACAAUUCAAGUAGAUUGAAAAUAAAAGUGCACCUCCCUGCAUCCACAUCAGUCUUACUUCUCAGAGGUAACAACCACUUUUUGUUCUUUAGGUAACUGCCUUUGUCACUCUAGGUUUGCUGCUGCUGUUUCUUGAUUUGUCAUUUAAGCGGUACCUGUUGACUGUCCGUUUUGAGUGAUAAGCAAUUUAUUUCACUCUAUUCCUCCUCCUCAUUUAUUUAUUUAUUUAAAUUUUUGGUUUCUCUUUUGGUUGCUUCUAUGACUUUAAUAAAUUAUUCCUUGAUCCAUCAGUUUUAAAUGGUAUCUCUUGACCUCUUACCAUUGUGGAAAUGACCAACCCAGUACUUUCUUUCCUAUUCAUUACUGCCCUUUACCUCCCCAACUUCUGUAAGUUAUACUGUCAGUUUACAUAAUCAAUCAUUAAUAGAUGUGUAUUAUUUGGAGAAACUAUACUUUUGAUUUUCCUUUAGUAUUCUAAAAACUGCUAAUCAGUAACAAGCAGUUGUGCUAGAUUAUGCAGAAAUAUUCAUGGGUGAUAUUACCAUGUGAUUGAAUCUCCAAUCUUACAAUCUUGAAGUCUGUAUACUGAUUUAAGCAGAAUACAAACUAAAGGUCAAAUGGAUUAUUUUAUCUUACAGCCAUCAGUUUCUCUAAAUCAGGUAUUAUUUGUUUCAUAAUGGCUUUUGAAGAUUUUAAUGUUUCCUGGAGUAAGUAAGUACCUUUUUUCUUUCUUGGAGAGAAGAAAAAUACUUUCUUUACUAUUACACUUCCUAUGUCAUUAAAUUACCAAAUUCGUUCAAACUACUUUUAGCUUUCAUCCUGGGAUUCCUGAAGGGUAUCAUUACCUUUAUUUUUCUUUGACAGAAGAAAAAUAUUUCUUUACUAUAACCCAGGGAUCAUUUUAAGCUUCUUAAUUGACUUUAUCAAACUUGUGCUUAGCAAUUUUUAGCUGUUUCCUGGGAUAUAUUUUCUUUGCACUCCUAUGUGCUACUUUUUUUGUUUUGUAUUCUUAAUUUCAUUUUUUCCUUUUUGAUUUGUUUGCUGAAAUAUAUUUAUAAGUAGCCCUCUACCCCACCACUUCCCAGAAUCAGGCACAUGGGAGAUGAACUUUGAGUCCUUGCAUGUCUGACGAGGUCUUUAUUUAUUUUCCAUACUUCACUUCGAUUGGACUUGUCCUAUUUCCAAACUCAUUUUCCUUAGAACUUUGAAGACAUUUCCCUAUUAUCUUCUAGCAUCCAGCUUUGCAGUAAUCCAGGUAAGAAUAAUGGUGGUUCAGACCAGCAAGGAGACAAUAAGGCGGUGAGGAGUGAUUGUAUUUUCAAUACUUUUUGAAGUAGGAGCCAAAGAAAUCUGCCGGUGGACUGUGAGCGAAAGGAGUAAGUCCUGAGCAAUUGAAGGAUGGAGUUGCUAUCAGAUAAGAUUGACAUGACUCCACUGUGUUUUUUAAAUGAGUUCCUUGUAGUGGAUGCUGCUGUUAUAAAUACAGUGGUUUUGGAAAUGCUUUAUAAAUUCCUUAUUAAGUCUUCAGUACUAAUGCUUCUGUACCUGGUGAUGGUGCCCAUGAGUCACUGUAAAAAUAAGAAUGCAAGAAAGCAAAGUCCCACAUUGUAAUUGUCUUUGGAAAUUUUCAGAUUGCGUAGCUUUAUAUCAAGGACCCUAAAGAAACAGGCUUGGGAGUGAUAUGGUUCCUGGAAAGAAUUUAAUUCCAGACCAAAGAAUGAUUUUGAGGCUUAGGAUUUUAUAAUUUAAGAACAUCAAAUUUUAGCUACUUGGACAGUGAUAAAGUUGUUUUAUGUUUAAGUCCUAAUUUGAGUCUCACUGACCUGAGGAAUUUGGUACUAAGAGGAAUGUUCUUUUCUCUUUUCCCUGCCCCAUGUUUGCUUUGAAUUCAGUAAGGCUCAGAUAUGAUAAACGUCCCUGACAGAAGCGUCAGACUGUGCCCCAGCUUCCAGGAGACAGAGAGCAGUUAGCCAGCAUUGUUUCUCUGAAACUUACGUGAAGGAAUGAUGCUAAAGCUGAAACUCCAGUACUUUGGCCACCUCAUGCGAAGAGUUGACUCAUUGGAAAAGACUCUGAUGCUGGGAGGGAUUGGGGGCAGGAGGAGAAGAGGACGACAGAGGAUGAGAUGGCUGGAUGGCAUCACUGACUCGAUGGAUGUGAGUCUGAGUGAACUCCGGGAGUUGGUGAUGGACAGGGAGGCCUGGCGUGCUGUGAUUCAUGGGGUCGCAAAGAGUUAGACACGACUGAGUGAAUGAACUGAACUGAACUGAAUCAGUAACUGCUUUGAGAAUGGGGGAGGAAGAAGACAGAAAUUUCUAUUUCUUGUAACAAGCCCCAAAUAGUUAUGCUACUAUAUGAUUAAACUACAAGUAUUUAUAACUUUGGAAAAUGUUUCCUGCCUUACUUUCAUCAAGACGUUUAUCAGUAUCUGAAAUUACCUUGUGUAUUUGAUCAUUAUCUGUGCCCACCCUUCUUGAAUGUAAUUUCCAUGGCAACAGGGACCUUGUGUAUCUAGUUCUUUGCCAUAGGCCUAGGACUUAUAACAUUGAAGAUGUUCAGUUAAUUAUUAAUAAAUGAAUGAAUAAAAAGGGAUUCUUAGAGAACGCUUAUCUUUUGUCAGGAAAAGACUAAGCACUAUGAGGUGCAAUGUGUAUAUAACUUUUCAAAUAUUCACUCCUGAUCAAUAAAUCAUUUGUGGUUAAGAAAAUAAUGUUCCGUUUAUUUUUUCAAUGAUUUUUGUUUCUUUUGGAACUAGAAUGACAUUGGU
ensembl:lncRNA